rnacentral:rRNA from 1 species
UGAGCAAUCUGCCCUUCUCUUCGGAAUAAGCGUUGGAAACGACGUCUAAUGCCGAAUACGACCUCCUUUCGCAUGAUCGGAGGUGGAAAGCUCCGGCGGAGAAGGAUGAGCUCGCGGCCUAUCAGCUAGUUGGUGUGGGUAAUGGCCCACCAAGGCGACGACGGGUAGCCGGCCUGAGAGGGUGACCCGGCCACACUGGGACUGAGACACGGCCCAGACCUCCGACGGGAGNAG